rnacentral:rRNA from 1 species
UACGUAGGGUGCGAGCGUUAAUCGGAAUUAUUGGGCGUAAAGAGCUCGUAGGCGGUGUGUCACGUCGUUCGUGAAAACCUGAGGCUUAACCUUGGGCGUGCGGGCGAUACGGGCAGACUGGAGUACUGCAGGGGAGACUGGAAUUCCUGGUGUAGCGGUGGAAUGCGCAGAUAUCAGGAGGAACACCGGUGGCGAAGGCGGGUCUCUGGGCAGUAACUGACGCUGAGGAGCGAAAGCGUGGGGAGCGAACAGG